UACGUGUCCUAUAGCAGGUGAUGCCAACGGACAAGUCGAAUGACCACCGCGAUCUCCAUGAAAUUGUUCGUGCAGGGUAUGAUCGAUGGGCUCAUCGGUUUCCAUUUGUCCAAAAUGCUGUAGCGCGUGCAAUGAAAGCUUGAGUUGUUAUGCCUUCUGUUAUGUUGACUAGUGAGACAUCAAAUGUUUUAAAAGAAUGUUUUUUUUCCCACAAGAUGAUAGUGAAAGAAAUCCCUACGAAUGCACAUAUGAAAAAAAAAGAAGAAGAAAAAUCUCUAGGGGGGUAUUAUCUCA